rnacentral:rRNA from 1 species
GAGUGCGUAACAGCUCACUGGUCAAGUGUUCGGGCGCGGAUAAUGUAACGGGGCUAAAGCUAGUCACCGAAACUACGGGUUCAUGACCCUGCGGGGUUCAUGAGCGGUAGGAGAGCGUUCUCAGUGUGUAAGCGUUGGCGUAAGCCUUCGUGCGGUGCUGAGAAGUGAGAAUGCAGGCAUGAGUAACGAAAGAGGGGUGAGAAUCCCCUCCACUGAUUGUCCGAGGUUUCCUGAGUAAAGUUCGUCUGCUCAGGGUUAGUCGGGACCUAAGGCGAGGCCGAAAGGCGUAGUCGAUGGCGAACAGGUUGAUAUUCCUGUACCACGUUGGAUCCGUUAUGACCGAUGGGGGGACGGGGAAGGGUAAGAGAACCCAGGCGAUGGUUGUCCUGGGGCAAGUACGUAGCCAGUCGCUGUAGGAAAAUCCGCAGCGGCGUUUUUACGCGAGGUGCGAUGCCAGCUGGAUUAAGUUCCGGCCAGUCUCUGAGCCCAUGCCUCCAAGAAAAGCCUCUAGGCAGGAUCCAUGUGCCCGUACCGAUAACCGACACAGGUGGACAAGUAGAAGAUACUAAGGUGAGCGAGAUAACCAUCGUUAAGGAACUCGGCAAAAUCGCCCCGUAACUUCGGGAUAAGGGGCGCCUCGAUAGGGUGAAGUCCAUACGGAUGGAGCUCGAGGAGGCCGCAGUGAAUUGGUCCAACCGACUGUUUACCAAAAACACAGGGCUCUGCUAAGUCGCAAGACGACGUAUAGGGCCUGACGCCUGCCCGGUGCUGGAAGGUUACGCGGACUUGUUAGCUCUUCGGAGCGAAGCAAUGAAGCUAAGCCCCAGUAAACGGCGGCCGUAACUAUAACGGUCCUAAGGUAGCGAAAUUCCUUGUCGGGUAAGUUCCGACCUGCACGAAUGGCGUAACGAGUUGGACGCUGUCUCAACGAUGGACUCGGUGAAAUUGGAGUCUCGGUGAAGAUACCGAGUACCCGCAUCAAGACGGAAAGACCCCGUGAACCUUUACUACAACUUGAUAUUGGAGUUUGGUGUGUUCUGUUCAGGAUAGGUGGGAGACAGUGAACCAGCGGCUGCGGCUGCUGGGGAGUCAACCUUGAGAUACCACCCUUGACAUACCGGGCUUCUAACACUAUUCCGUGAUCCGGGUAGUGAACAGUGUCAGGCGGGUAGUUUGACUGGGGCGGUCGCCUCCUAAAAUGUAACGGAGGCGCCCAAAGGUUCCCUCAGUACGGUUGGAAAUCGUGCGUAGAGUGUAAAGGCAACAAGGGAGCUUGACUGCGAGACCGACGGGUCGAGCAGGAACGAAAGUUGGGCUUAGUGAUCCGGCGGUUGCAAGUGGAAGCGCCGUCGCUCAACGGAUAAAAGGUACUCCGGGGAUAACAGGCUUAUCGGGCCCAAGAGUCCACAUCGACGGCCCGGUUUGGCACCUCGAUGUCGGCUCGUCGCAUCCUGGGGCUGAAGUAGGUCCCAAGGGUUGGGCUGUUCGCCCAUUAAAGCGGCACGCGAGCUGGGUUCAGAACGUCGUGAGACAGUUCGGUCCCUAUCUGCCGUGGGC